UCUCCCAGUUCCCCCAGCGAUGGCCACUUCCUUGUCCUCGAUGCAACCAUGGCUGAAGAAUGACCGCAGGUCGAAUUGUUCGUGAAGGCUGGCAGUGAUGGGGCCAAGAUUGGGAACUGCCCCUUCUCCCAGAGACUGUUCAUGGUGCUCUGGCUCAAGGGAGUCACCUUCAAUGUCUCCACUAUUGACACCAAGAGGAGGACUGAGACAGUUCAGAAGCUAUGCCCAGGAGGGCAGCUCCCAUUCUUGCUGUAUGGCACUGAAGUACACACAGACACCAACAAGAUUGAGGAAUUUCUGGAGGCAGUGCUGUGCCCUCCCAGGUACCCUAAGUUGGCAGCUCUGAACCCUGAGUCCAACACAGCAGGACUGGACAUGCUUGCCAAAUUUUCUGCCUACAUCAAGAAUUCAAACCCAGCACUUAAUGAUAAUCUGGAAAAGGGGCUCCUGAAAGCCCUGAAGAUUUUAGAUAAUUACUUAACAUCCCCCCUCCCAAAAGAAAUAGAUGAAACCAGUGCUGAAGACGAAGGCGUCUCUCAGAGGAAGUUUCUGGAUGGCAAUGAGCUCACCCUGGCUGACUGCAACUUGUUGCCAAAACUCCACAUAGUACAGGUGGUGUGUAAGAAGUACAGAGGGUUCACCAUCCCUGAGGCUUUCCGUGGAGUGCAUCAGUACUUGAGCAAUGCCUGUGCUCGGGAAGAAUUCGCGUCUACCUGUCCAGAUGAUGAGGAAAUCGAGCUAGCCUACGAGCAAGUGGCCAAGGCCCUCAAAUAAGCCCCUCCUGGAGCUCUCUUGAAAGCUCUGAGUAGUUUCCACAUUGGUAUUCAAUGGACACACUCCAAAAUGGCCAGUGGGAAUCACUUGGAGCACUUGUGCAGGGCCAGAUUAGGAGGGAAGAGGGAUGACAGAAAGGGAUGGGGAACCUGAGUGAGAUUUUUAUUGUGGGCUGG